rnacentral:lncRNA from 1 species
UUAGUUCCUCCCUGCUAGAUUCUAUUUUCUGUGUGAUGUUCUUAAAUUCUCUAACAUUUAGAGAAUUUAGAACAGGUUUAAGUGCCUUGAGGUUGUUCCAUAUCAACUUAAGAGUGCCCUGAUCAGAACUCCUCCAAUGUUCCUUCAUGAUGUUUUGGAAAACCUUGUGAUUAGCCCAUGCAUUGUAAAAUUUGAAGGAUGCCUUCCUGACAGUAAUAUCUUCCUUCAAAGUGAGGACCAUUGGAUUAUGAUCAGAGAUUAAAGGAGGGUCAUAUACAGUCUGUACAUGACUCCAUUUAAUCAUCCAGUCAUAAUUAUCAAAUAUUCUGUCUAAUCUACUACAAACUCUC